rnacentral:tRNA from 1 species
UGGGAUGUGGCAGAGUGGAUAAAGCAUUGGACUUUCAAGCAUAAGGUCCCAAGUUUGAUCCCUGGCAUCACAU